AAAAACCGGCCAAGUGCGAGUCGGACUCGCCCGUAAAUUGCGGUUUACGAUUUAUGACGUAUUAAAAAAAAACUACUUACUAGAUCUCGUUCAAACCAAUUUUCGGUGGAAGUUUGCAUGGUAAUGUACAUCAUAUAUUUUUUCAGUUUUAUCAUUCUCUUAUUUUAGAACUUACAGGGGGGGGGGGGCACACAUUUUACCACUUUGGAAGUGUCUCUCGCGCAAACUAUUUAGUUUAGAAAAAAAUUAUAUUACAAACCUCAAUAUCAUUUUUGAAGACCUAUCUAUAGAUACCCCACACGUAUGGGUUUGAUGAAAAAAAAAAUUUGUCUCAGUUCUAAGUAUGGGGAGCACCCAAAAUUUAUUGGUUUUUUUUCUAUUUGUGUGUGAAAAUCUUAAUGCGGUUUACAGAAUACAUCUACUUACCAAGUUUCAACAGUAUAGUUC